rnacentral:tRNA from 1 species
GCCAGCAUGGUGUAGUGGUUUGAGUUUUGGUCUAUGACUCUGGAGACCAGGGUUCAAAUCCCAGCUUGGCC